AGUGAAUAGAUACCCUGGUAGUCCCAGCUGUAAACGAUGCGCGUUAGGUGUAUCGGUGACCACGAGUCACCGAGGUGCCGAAGGGAAACCGUGAAACGUGCCGCCUGGGAAGUACGGUCGCAAGGCUGAAACUUAAAGGAAUUGGCGGGGGAGCACCACAACAGGUGGAGCCUGCGGUUUAAUCGGACUCAACGCCGGGAAGCUCACCGGAUAAGACAGCUGAAUGAUAGCCGGGUUGAAGACUCUGCUUGACUAGCUGAGAGGAGGUGCAUGGCCGUCGUCAGUUCGUACUGUGAAGCAUCCUGUUAAGUCAGGCAACGAGCGAGACCCACGCCAACAGUUGCCAGCAUGUCCUCCGGGAUGGUGGGGACACUGUUGGGACCGCCUCUGCUAAAGAGGAGGAAGGAAUGGGCAACGGUAGGUCAGCAUGCCCCGAAUUAUCCGGGCUACACGCGGGCUACAAUGGUCAGGACAAUGGGUAUCAACACCGAAAGGUGAAGGCAAUCUCCUAAACCU
rnacentral:rRNA from 1 species